UGGUGACGAUAGCGAAGAGGUCACACCCGUUCCCAUUCCGAACACGGCAGUUAAGCUCUUCAGCGCCGAUGGUAGUUGGGGGUUUCCCCCUGUGAGAGUAGGACGCCGCCA
rnacentral:rRNA from 1 species